GGACCUUAGAGGCCAUCCCAUUCCAGCCCCAUGCACUGCCAUGCCAUGUCCCCAAGUGCCACUUCUCAGACAAUCUCUGCCCAGAGAUGCUGGCAGAGCCUUGUCCACAGAAAGGAAUGAGGUACUCGCACCAGACAGCAGCCACAGGACACCGAAAUCUUUCAGAGAAAGAGAAUUUAUUGCUCCAUCAUCAGAAGAAACGAACUUCUUCCCGCCUCGCUCAGCCCUGGAGACGCCGUCAGGAUUCAGAGGAAGGAGCUGACACUGCCCAGCCAGAAUCCUUUGUUGGAAUGGAAUUUAUGCACCAUGGAUGAGAAAAGCCAUCAUCUGCUUUACGACCACUGUGAGGGAUGGACUGAGAUGGGAGAAGCCUCUCCCUCAAGGACUGAGACAUGAAACCCCAUAUGGAGGAGCUGCCCCCUCCCAAGGACUGAGACUGAAACCCCCAACCCAGGGGAGGGCGAGAGCCCACCUGACCAAAGCCAGAUUCUGCCAAGCACCACCUGAAGCUGCACCAAGAAGACAAUGGCUCUCGCUGACUGCUGAGAACAUGGAGUACCUGUUACAUCUGUUCUUUAUUGCACCUGUUUCCCCCCUCGCGAUUUUCAAUAGAGAAAGGAAUGAGGUACUCGCACCAGACAGCAGCCACAGGACACCGAAAUCUUUCAGAGAAAGAGAAUUUAUUGCUCCAUCAUCAGAAGAAACGAACUUCUUCCUGCCUCACUCAGCCCUG